ACACAAAAUCACAAUUGAAUCCAUUUUAAAUUAAGGUUGUAAAACAAAAUGUGGAAAAAGUCAAGGAGAGUGAAUACUGUCUGAAGGUCCUGUAUGUUCCUAUAUAGAGCAGUUUGUCCAACUAGCUUAGCUGACAUGUGAAUACUGUCUGAAGGUCCUGUAUGAUCCUAUAUAGAGCAGUUUGUCCAACUAGCUUAGCUGACAUGUGAAUACUGUCUGAAGGUCCUGUAUGUUCCUAUAUAGAGCAGUUUGUCCAACUAGCUUAGCUGACAUGUGAAUACUGUCUGAAGGUCCUGUAUGAUCCUAUAUAGAGCAGUUUGUCCAACUAGCUUAGCUGACAUGUGAAUACUGUCUGAAGGUCCUGUAUGAUCCUAUAUAGAGCAGUUUGUCCAACUAGCUUAGCUGACAUGUGAAUACUGUCUGAAGGUCCUGUAUGUUCCUAUAUAGAGCAGUUUGUCCAACUAGCUUAGCUGACAUGUGAAUACUGUCUGAAGGUCCUGUAUGAUCCUAUAUAGAGCAGUUUGUCCAACUAGCUUAGCUGACAUGUGAAUACUGUCUGAAGGUCCUGUAUGAUCCUAUAUAGAGCAGUUUGUCCAACUAGCUUAGCUGACAUGUGAAUACUGUCUGAAGGUCCUGUAUGUUCCUAUAUAGAGCAGUUUGUCCAACUAGCUUAGCUGACAUGUGAAUACUGUCUGAAGGUCCUGUAUGAUCCUAUAUAGAGCAGUUUGUCCAACUAGCUUAGCUGACAUGUGAAUACUGUCUGAAGGUCCUGUAUGAUCCUAUAUAGAGCAGUUUGUCCAACUAGCUUAGCUGACAUGUGAAUACUGUCUGAAGGUCCUGUAUGAUCCUAUAUAGAGCAGUUUGUCCAACUAGCUUAGCUGACAUGUGAAUACUGUCUGAAGGUCCUGUAUGAUCCUAUAUAGAGCAGUUUGUCCAACUAGCUUAGCUGACAUGUGAAUACUGUCUGAAGGUCCUGUAUGAUCCUAUAUAGAGCAGUUUGUCCAACUAGCUUAGCUGACAUGUGAAUACUGUAUGAAGGUCCUGUAUGAUCCUAUAUAGAGCAGUUUGUGGCAGUUGUACUAAGGCAUACAUGUUCUUAAAGAAUCAAUGUGCAUCAUUAAUUAAAAUGACAAUUUAACAGAUAAAGAGAUUAUGCUUCGAUAUCGUGUUUCUUCUUUUCACGUAGAAUUAGACAUAAUGAUUAUGCCUCUAGAUGGCAGGAACAAGUUGUUUCAGAUGUUUGAAAAAUUCUCAGAUGUGUGUGUGUGUGUGUGUGUGUGUGUGUGUGUGUGUGUGUGUGUGUGUGUGUGUGUGUGUGUGUGUGUGUGUGUGUGUGUGUGUGUGUG